rnacentral:rRNA from 1 species
UACGGGGGGGGCAAGCGUUGUUCGGAAUUACUGGGCGUAAAGGGCUCGUAGGCGGCCAACUAAGUCGGAUGUGAAAUCCCCAGGCUUAACCUGGGAAUUGCAUCCGAUACUGGAUGGCUUGAAUCCGGGAGAGGGAUGCGGAAUUCCAGGUGUAGCGGUGAAAUGCGUAGAUAUCUGGAGGAACACCGGUGGCGAAGGCGGCAUCCUGGACCGGCAUUGACGCUGAGGAGCGAAAGCCAGGGAGGCAAACGGG